rnacentral:tmRNA from 1 species
GGGGGUGAAAGGCUUCGACUAGGAAGCUGAGAGCUCAUGGCAUGCGGAGGUCGUCGAUCACCUCUUUAAACUAUCGGCAAAUUAUAAUUGACAACCAUAACGGUUCUCAAGAACUUCUCGCAGCUUAACCGUUGCUGAGUUCCGAUACUCUGGGGUCUGACCAGGAACUUUAGAAGUAUCGUCAUUAACCCUGGUGUGGCGCUCUUUGCCGCCUUAUGGAAGAGCUAGCCGAGAUUACAUAGGGCGUAUAGAUCUGAAACGGGGCGCCUCCCGGUAAGAUCUAUUAAAUGACGGAGGCGAUAAGCAUGUAGGCAUGGGUUGGAUGUUUGCUUAGGACGAGAGUUCGAAUCUCUCCACCUCCAAUU